rnacentral:rRNA from 1 species
UACAGAGGUCCCAAGCGUUGUUCGGAUUCAUUGGGCGUAAAGCGCGCGCAGGCGGCUUCUUAAGUCUGAUGUGAAAUCUCGGGGCUCAACCCCGAGCGGCCAUUGGAAACUGGGAAGCUUGAGUACAGAAGAGGAGAGUGGAAUUCCACGUGUAGCGGUGAAAUGCGUAGAUGUGUGGAGGAACACCAGUGGCGAAGGCGACUCUCUGGUCUGUAACUGACGCUGAGGCGCGAAAGCGUGGGGAGCAAACAGG